GAUGAACGCUGGCGGCGUGCCUAAUACAUGCAAGUCGAGCGAACAGACGAGGAGCUUGCUCCUCUGACGUUAGCGGCGGACGGGUGAGUAACACGUGGAUAACCUACCUAUAAGACUGGGAUAACUUCGGGAAACCGGAGCUAAUACCGGAUAAUAUAUUGCACCGCAUGGUUCAAUAGUGAAAGACGGUUUUGCUGUCACUUAUAGAUGGAUCCGCGCCGCAUUAGCUAGUUGGUAAGGUAACGGCUUACCAAGGCGACGAUGCGUAGCCGACCUGAGAGGGUGAUCGGCCACACUGGAACGGAGACACGGUCCAGACUCCUACGGGAGGCAGCAGUAGGGAAUCUUCCGCAAUGGGCGAAAGCCUGACGGAGCAACGCCGCGUGAGUGAUGAAGGUCUUCGGAUCGUAAAACUCUGUUAUUAGGGAAGAACAAAUGUGUAAGUAACUAUGCACGUCGUGACGGUACCUAAUCAGAAAGCAACGGCUAACUACGUG
rnacentral:rRNA from 1 species